rnacentral:rRNA from 1 species
CGCGUAGGCGGCUCGGUAAGUCUGGAGUGAAAGUCCUGCUUUCAAGGUGGGAAUUGCUUUGGAUACUGUCGAGCUUGAGUGCAGGAGAGGUAAGUGGAAUUCCCAGUGUAGCGGUGAAAUGCGUAGAGAUUGGGAGGAACACCAGUGGCGAAGGCGACUUACUGGACUGUAACUGACGCUGAGGCGCGAAAGUGUGGGGAGCAAACA